GGAAUCCUCAGCAGUACAAGGCUGCAGCAACACAGGGCACCACUGCCGAACACAAUUCUGCACAAUGUCCACCACAAAUGCCAAAACAGGAGGGAGGUGGUCAAAGCUUUAUUGGCACUGUAUCUGACAAGCAGGUUAACAACAAUAUCAAGAAAGAAAACAUGAAUGGAAAUUCAAAGGGAGGUUACUCUUUAAAAACAAAUAAUUCUGGUGGUACUCCAGGCGGAACAUCCAGAGUACAUAAAAUUGACAGCCUCACUCCUUAUCAAAACAGGUGGAAAAUUAGGGCUCGUGUCACACAGAAGAGUGGAAUUCGAACCUGGUCAAACUCAAGAGGGGAGGGCAAACUUUUCAGUGUCACCCUAACAGAUGAUUCUGCAGAGAUUCGAGCCACUGGAUUCAAUGAUGCUGUUGAUAAAUUUUAUGAAUUGCUGGAAGUCAACAAGGUGUACUACUUUAGUAAAGCCACUCUGAAGACAGCAAACAAGCAGUAUACAACAGUUCAGAAUGACUAUGAAAUGACCUUUAACCCAGACACCAUUAUUGAACCAUGUGAUGAUGAUAGCAGUCUACCUACCAUGAAUUUCAACUUUGUCAAAAUCAAUGAGCUUGAAAGCAAGGCUCCAACCUCCCUUAUUGAUGUGAUUGGAGUGGUUAAGAACUGUGGGGAUGUGACCACCAUUAUCGGCAAACAGAUCAGAUCAUCCACAACCCCGACCUGCGGGAGGGACACAUGCUGAAGGGCUGGUUUGAGCAUGAUGGUCACAGUAUGGACUUCCACGGCUACAAGAAUGACGGAAUGGGAGGUGGUGGGGGAGGUUCAACAAACUGGAAGUGCUUUGCAGAGAUCAAGUCUGAAAACAUUGGUGCAGAUAAACCAGAAUAUUUCACUACCAAAGCUACAGUUCUCUUCUUGCGCAAGGAAAAUUGCAUGUACCAGGCAUGUCCUACAGAAUCCUGUAAUAAGAAGGUUGUUGACCAGGGCAAUGGGAUGUACAGAUGUGAGAAAUGUGCUAGGGAGUUCCCCAACUACAAGUGGAGGAUGAUUUUAUCUGCUAACCUAGGAGACUACUCAGACAACCAGUGGGUGACUUGUUUCCAGGAGUCUGCGGAGGCCAUGCUGGGGAUCAAAGCUGAUGACCUCGGUGCUCUCAAGGACUCGAAUGAGCAAGCAUUUGAUCAAGUGUUCACAGAUGCCUGUUUUAAAUCCUAUAUUUUUAAGUUCAGAGCAAAAGUGGAAACUUACAAUGAUGAAAGCAGAUUGAAAACUGUCACAAUGAAUGCAAGCACCAUAGACUUUAAAGAGCAAUCGCAAAGGUUGAUAGAGGAGAUAAAGAAGUUACAAAUGUGAAUAAGACUUCCUUUUAACAGUGCUAGCUAUGUUGCCAUCAGAAUUGGUUGAAGAUGUAUAUAUUUUGUAAAGCUGCAAUUUACAGUUCCAUGCCCAAGAUGGAACUGUAAAACAUUGAAAACAAUUGUUUAUAGAUGUACAUUUGAUAAUCUUGUUACAUUAAGACCAGAAGCUGACAUUGAGAUGAGGUUUUCUUUUUUUCAAGCUUGUAAAAUAAUUGUUUGAGAUCAUGUAUAACAUUAUUUUGAAAGGGCAUUUCCUUCUGUUUAUGUACUUAAAAGAUUACAAACAAUGUACAGUGGCAUAGCGUUUGUUCUUUAUCUGUAGUGAUGGUCCUUGUACAUGUAUUUUGAAAAGACAUCUCCUACUGUUAUACGUGUACAGGUAUAAGAUUAAAAGCAAUGGAAAGUAGCAUGCUUUUUUGUUCAUUAUCUGUAGUGAUGUCAGUAGUAUUUGACAUUGUAUAUUUAUUACACCACUGAACGUCUGAAAACUGUGUCAUUUAAGGAUGUUAAUGCUGUUUGGGUUGUAUUUUGUUUUAACUUACAGACAUGCAUCUCAAAACCACAAAAUUGAAAUACACAAGAUGUAAAUAAAUACUACGAUAAUUGUAAUUGACUAUUUUAAAGGUUGAAGACUUUGCUGAACACAAAAAUGAAAAAUACUUUGCAUUGAAACAUGUUUAUUUGAACAACUGGUAAACGAAACAGAAAAUAAUAAACAAAUGAAACAGUG
rnacentral:misc_RNA from 1 species